rnacentral:rRNA from 1 species
AUUGAACGCUGGCGGCAGGCCUAACACAUGCGAGUCGAGCGGAUGAAGGGAGCUUGCUCCUGGAUUCAGCGGCGGACGGGUGAGUAAUGCCUAGGAAUCUGCCUGGUAGUGGGGGAUAACGUCCGGAAACGGGCGCUAAUACCGCAUACGUCCUGAGGGAGAAAGUGGGGGAUCUUCGGACCUCACGCUAUCAGAUGAGCCUAGGUCGGAUUAGCUAGUUGGUGGGGUAAAGGCCUACCGAGGCGACGAUCCGUAACUGGUCUGAGAGGAUGAUCAGUCACACUGGAACUGAGACACGGUCCAGACUCCUACGGGAGGCAGCAGUGGGGAAUAUUGGACAAUGGGCGAAAGCCUGAUCCAGCCAUGCCGCGUGUGUGAAGAAGGUCUUCGGAUUGUAAAGCACUUUAAGUUGGGAGGAAGGGCAGUAAGUUAAUACCUUGCUGUUUUGACGUUACCAACAGAAUAAGCACCGGCUAACUUCGUG